rnacentral:rRNA from 1 species
UACGAAGGGUGCAAGCGUUACUCGGAAUUACUGGGCGUAAAGGGUGCGUAGGUGGUUCUUUAAGUCUGCUGUGAAAGCCCCGGGCUCAACCUGGGAAUGGCAGUGGAUACUGGAGAGCUAGAGUGCGGUAGAGGGUAGUGGAAUUCCCGGUGUAGCAGUGAAAUGCGUAGAGAUCGGGAGGAACACCAGUGGCGAAGGCGGCGACCUGGGCCAAUACUGACGCUGAGGUGCGAAAGCGUGGGGAGCAAACAGG